UGGGUCCACGAAUACAUACAUUGUUAUCCCUAUAAUUUCGUCGAUCGUGAAAAACUACAAUUUUAAACUUUAAAACACAAACUGCAAAGUGAUAAUAUCCUGACUCGAGGAUGCAGAUCGAGUUGGAUCCUGUGAAAGAGGUAACUCUCCGAGGAAAGCUCGGGUGAGGGCGAGUGGAGGCGCGCUUGUCGCGAUUCUCGGAACCCAGCCAACAACAGGCCGUGGCUUGUACAAGUGUAUUUAGGGUUACGACGCGUCGCGGCUCCACUGUGGAAAAGCAGAGACACCUGACGGUGUGUUCGAUGCUGAACCAUCCGCGAAUUAAUUUGUCAAAUCUUUUUUUCUUCUUUCGUUACUUUCUUAAAGUAAAGAAGAGGAUACAUACGUAUAAUUGGCUCCUUGGAAUCGUUAGGUUAAUAAAAUAAAGCUGGACAACUGAGUUGUUUUCAUAUCUCUUAAACUUACGAAUGUAAUGAGAGUGUAAUGAGAUAACAAUAAUUAUAACGAAUUAUAACGAAUUGAAAAAAAAGAAAUAAAGCUAAGGGCACGAUUUUCAAAAUAAGAUACGUAUCUGUAAGAUUCAAUUUCUAAGAAAUUUUAUACGUGACAAUUGACUUGAUCGUUAAUAAGAAUACAAUCGCGAGGAAGAUUAAGAAAGAUAGAAGUUGGAACAACUUGUUGAACGAAGAUAGUUGCACUUUCACUGGAGGAAGCAUAAUCUAAAUAGGAUCUGCCUUUUUGACAGACAGAGACUCGAGAUGAUUAUCCUGGAAGGAGAAAGCGAUGAUCUAUGUAAAAAUAGAGUUUACAUAGUUCAAAGAAGAGCUGAUUUCAUCGACAUUGGUCAAUGAGCCGAUUAAACAAAAUCUUAGAAACGUUCAAAGUUUAAUCUAAAAUUUUAGGGAUACCAAUCCAUUUCUCAAGAGUAUAAACUUUCUCAUUAUUGGACACUGUUGGAGGAGUAAAGUUAUUUUGAACAAUUAUUAUUAACAUGAUAUCCCAUUCCAAAAAAUACUUUCGUCAACAAAUCUUGUACAAAUACAUUUGCAAAAUUUACACAGUGCAAAUCCAUCUGCAAAAAACAUUUUACUCAGUGUCCAUUAACACAGUGUUCCUUUGCCAAAAAAUAUUAUCCAAAGUAACUCUCGAGAGCUACUUCAGAAUUGACUUUUUGUCAAAAACUACUAUCAAUAAUAUUUUUUUAGAACAAAAUUCUCGUCAGUGUCCACUCCCAUAAAAUUGGGCCCUCGAAUAUAUUCACCUCGGCUCAACUAGAGAGUGUACGACAUGAUCGGAAACGCAAUGGUUAAACGAUACAACGAACCGUUUAAAAAUACAUCACGCGGCCAAUCCAUUGCAACGACACGUGGCAAUGAACAAUUUUCCCGUACCCUCUCGAUCGAAGGGUCGUUCACACCUGCAAAUUUCCCUGAUGACGAGACGUUACGUGGGCAUGCAUAUGUUGCAGAGAGAAUGCGCCGCGCCUAGUCACGUAUCCGAUCAGACGAGAAUGGAAUCGGAUGAUGAGCUCGAGCAAGGUUCCGAGACGUUCAAAAUUGGAUGAUUCGUAGGCGUGGACCUAGAAACCCAACGUAUAUUUCCAUCCAACGAUCUACUCUGUGGAGGCCAUCGAACGUGUCAUCGCCUUUGAGGAGGAUAUAGUUACAAGAUUUGAUAAUCCGUUUGUUAACCAAUGAAUUUCCCCUUGAAGAAGAAUGCUUAUCAUGUUGAUGUCGACAUCGAAUUUUUAUAUUGAAAAUAUUUGAAUUACAAUUCAUCUAAAAAGUUGAAGUUCUAAAUUUGAUUGUUGAGGAGAGUAUAGUUAUUAGAUUAGAUACAUUAUCAGGUGAAUUAGAUUUAAGAGCUUGGAUUAAAGUUUUAUAAUUAGAGUAGAAUUAGAUUUUCUCAUUAUUCAAUUGGAUCUUUCGUUCAUGUCUAAAAGAAGAGAAGAUCAUUCUCAAUAUCUUACAAAACGUAAUUGUACUGAUGUAACAUAAAAAUUCGUUCAUUAGAAUGAACGAAACUUUUGCUGUGAACCACACAAAAUUUCAUCUAACGUUCAAUGCAAUAUUUUUUCGUACAGCAACGAGAUUCGACGAGCGGUUCCAAGCGGACGACGUCCAAGAGCGUAGGCGUGCGAGUUCUAAAGGAACGUGGCCAACACAAGUUUUAUAUUUUUAUACAAAAAUUGUCGUCACGUUAAGCUACUCUCUAUAUAUCACCACGUUUGUGACGUAAAUUUGUAUUAAAACGAAAAAUAAUAGAAGAGGAAUUGACGUAAAUCAUACAUACAUUCUAGUGAAAAUUAAAAAAUGAUGUUAUGAAAACUUUAAUUUAAAAAGAGACGAUAAUAUAAAUGAAAAAAAGAAUAUAUUAAAUAAUUUUUAAAAAAAUGGAAAUUUUUAAUAAUUUAUAUGGUAGUUUAGAAAUGGUAAAAAUUAAAUGGUCCUGUGAAAAUUUCAAUUUUGAAGAAGAAUUUGCAAAUGAGGAACAAGAGGUAAUCGAACGAUCUCGAUGCAUCGAUUAUUUCAUCAAGCUGUUCAGUGAGAUUACUCAUCCGCAUAGAUAUAGAAUCUCGUUGUGGGUGGCAACUAUAAACAUACGAUGCUUCCCUUCGAAGCAUCGAUUUUAGAGACAAGAUUUCAAAUCCAAGAUGGUGGUUUCGCGUAAUUUCUCGAUUAUUUAUAACGUAUUCCGCUUGAGUUGGUUAAGUGUUGGUUGCCAAGUUGGAAAUUGUUGUGCACAAAAUGGAUACACGAUCAGUUUCAUUUAUGCAUUAUAAAUAGAUGAAAAUUUCUCUCUUCCUUAUGUAAUCUGAUAAAAUUUCUAAAAUUUAAACUUGUUAUUUAUAUCGUACGAAAUUUUAUUUAUUCAUUCAAUUGAUUGAUGAUCUUUAAUAAAUAAUCU